AGUGAACGCUGGCGGCAGGCCUAACACAUGCAAGUCGAACGGCAACACAAAGAAGCUUGCUUCUUUGCUGACGAGUGGCGGACGGGUGAGGAAUGUAUGGGAAUCUACUCGAUGGAGGGGGAUAACUACGGGAAACGGUCGCUAAUACCGCAUAACGCCGCCGGACCAAAGAGGGGGACCUUCGGGCCUCUUGCCAUCGAAUGUGCCCAGAUGGGAUUAGCUAGUAGGUGGGGUAACGGCUCACCUAGGCGACGAUCCCUAGCUGGUCUGAGAGGAUGACCAGCCACACUGGAACUGAGACACGGUCCAGACUCCUACGGGAGGCAGCAGUGGGGAAUAUUGGACAAUGGGCGCAAGCCUGAUGCAGCCAUGCCGCGUGUAUGAAGAAGGCCUUCGGGUUGUAAAGUACUUUCAGCGGGGAAGAAGGGAGUAAAGUUAAUACCUUUGCUCAUUGACGUUACCCGAAGAAGAAGCACCGGCUAACUCCGUG
rnacentral:rRNA from 1 species